UNUGACUUGAGUGCAGAAGGGGAGAGUGGAAUUCCAUGUGUAGCGGUGAAAUGCGUAGAUAUAUGGAGGAACACCAGUGGCGAAAGCGGCUCUCUGGUCUGUCACUGACGCUGAGGCUCGAAAGCGUGGGUAGCGAACAGGAUUAGAUACCCUGGUAGUNCACGCCGUAAACGAUGAGUGCUAGGUGUUAGGCCCUUUCCGGGGCUUAGUGCCGGAGCUAACGCAAUAAGCACUCCGCCUGGGGAGUACGACCGCAAGGUUGAAACUCAAAGGAAAUGACGGGGGCCCGCACAAGCGGUGGAGCAUGUGGUUUAAUUCGAAGCAACGCGAAGAACCUUACCAGGUCUUGACAUCCCGAUGCUAUUCUUAGAGAUAGGAAGUUACUUCGGUACAUCGGAGACAGGUGGUGCAUGGUUGUCGUCAGCUCGUGUCGUGAGAUGUUGGGUUAAGUCCCGCAACGAGCGCAACCCUUAUUGUUAGUUGCCAUCAUUAAGUUGGGCACUCUAGCGAGACUGCCGGUAAUAAACCGGAGGAAGGUGGGGAUGACGUCAAAUCAUCAUGCCCCUUAUGGCCUGGGCUACACACGUGCUACAAUGGUCGGUACAACGAGUUGCGAGCCGGUGACGGCAAGCUAAUCUCUGAAAGCCGAUCUCAGUUCGGAUUGGAGGCUGCAACUCGCCUCCAUGAAGUCGGAAUCGCUAGUAAUCGCGGAUCAGCACGCCGCGGUGAAUACGUUCCCGGGCCUUGUACACACCGCCCGUCACACCACGAGAGUUUGUAACACCCGAAGUCGGUGAGGUAACCUUUUAGGGGCCAGCCG
rnacentral:rRNA from 1 species